CUACACACAUAUCCCUUUGAACAGCAUGUCACAAGGAUAAAAGAGGCCCAUAAGUGAAUGUGUGGUACAGUAAAUGAUUCAUGAACCAGGAAAAAGAGAAGAUACUUAAAGGCAGGCCAGCAGAAGGCUGAAUACCAUUGACUGCAAUAGAUAUGACAGCAGAGUGACUCCCAGGCCACUGACAAAGAAGGAGCUUUCAACAUUCCUUCCCGUCAUAGCUUUCUUCUAGAACUGUGAUGGAUUAUCUGUUGCUGGUGUUGCUAACACCUCCUACCUCCUGGUGCCCAGAAAAUCACAACUAAACAGCCAGUCACCAGAUAAACUAUCAAAACUGGAGGGUUUUUUCC